rnacentral:lncRNA from 1 species
UUGCUGUAUGUGUAAUGAUUUUUGUACAGAGUUGAUUGAAAGUAGCCCACCUGCUGGGGAGGAGAUAUUAUAUACAUGCAUAUGCUAUGUCAUCACUGUAAGAUGAGACCUGUAAAGCUUCUCUUUCCGUCUUUUGCGUUUUACAAAAAAACAAUACCCAUUCAAUGCAAUCCUAACUUUUAAUUUGUUUUAUAAUAUCAUUUAUGCUUGUUCUAUAUAGAAAAAUACCAGAUACGUCAGUGUGGUUAAUAAGUGAGGUUCAGUUGGAACAGUUUAAAUGUUGGCCAGGUGCAGUUUGAAGAAACUUUAUCUAGUCUUUCUAUCAAUACAAAAAGAGACGCACGACCACAAAAGAAAAUGUUACGCUGAACUAACCAAUCACAACAUACAUUUCCUUUAAUGGAAAAAUUCUCUCCUUUCAUGAUAGCCAGCUUUGCAUAGUUUACGGUAUCUACAGGUCAUCAACAAACACGGACAGAAUGCUUUUUCUUCUCACUGCUCUCUUAGGAGUUGUUUUCUGUAGUCAUGGUAAGCUGUCUGGACCAGAGUUAGUGGUAAGAGUCAGCCCGGGUGAUAACAUCACUCUUCACUGUGACUGCCAAAGAUCAAGCGGCAAAUUCAUAGCUUGGUUUAGGAACUGUUCUCAUGAGAACCAGCCUUCACUCAUUCUAAGGACAAACUACAAAUAUGACCCAUCAUACCUUGAGGACAAAGUAAAUAUUCUCAAUCCAUUCCCUCGUUUGCAUUUAGUGGAAAACCAGUCUUCUGACUCCUAUGACCUGUUGAUCAUGAACACUACUGAUUCUGAUGAGGGUCUCUACUACUGUGGAACUGAACAGAAGGAGGUUGACACAACAUUUCCUCAGAAAUAUAUUUACAAAUACGGCAACAUCACAACCAGGAUUCUGCUGAACUCCACUGUGACUUGUCAUGACAUCCGCAAACCUCAGGAGGACUGUAGCCUGUGCUGGAAGCUGCUUUUCACUCUGUGUCCUUUUAUUGUUGCUCUCUUCUCUCUCUUCUCCUCUGUACUGUUUUACCAGCUUCGCCAAAAAAUAGGUACCUGCUAUAUUUUUAACUUCCAUCUCUUCCAUAUGAACAACUUUGAACUUUGUACUUCCGUCUUCAAUUUAUUGUAUUCCUGCAUUUGUUAUGUUCCAUCUUUGGAAUCUGAUUUGGUGUAAAAUUGUCCUUUCCUCUGUUUUCUGUAGAAAAUAAUAAAUCUCAAGAUGACAUGAAGACAACUGAAAGCCAAAGUCACAUAAAACAGGUAAUCAAUAAGUAACAGACUAUCUUGGUGUUGCAGUUACAAUUUUCAGUUUAGGUUGCAGUGUUUUGUUUUGUUUCGCGUUUUUUUUGGCUUGCUGUUUACUUACAAACUCUAAUACUAUAAUAACAACAAUCUUGAAAUCUCAGGAUGAAGAUGUGUGUUAUGCUGCUCUGGAAAUUCGUCAAGCAUCACAGAGACCAAAAAAGAAGAAAAUUCAAAGUUCAGACUUUAGCACAUAUUCCUCCAUCAAUACUUCCCAGAUAUAAGAAUAUUCACAUUUAAAAAUAUGAUAACAAGGUAGUUUUCUACCACAUUUAAGAUGAAAAGCAAAUGAUAGAUUUGGACCUUCUUGUUUUAUCAGCUUUUCAAACCAACUUUGACAUGCUAUUCACAAACCCGUGAUUUUAUCUUGUUUUCAGUCGCUUUGGCUGAAGACCUUUGAUGACUUGAUAUUGUUGUACUGCUUAAUAGAUUCCUCACAGCAGAUAUUUCCAGAAGUAAACUGUGUUGAAUUAAUAGUGGCAUAAAAAGAGAAUGAAGUUUGCCUAGUUAGUUCAAAUAAAGUUGUACUGUGAAGGAAGAUUACCGACUAAGGAAGUGUGUUAAGCCUAAAUAGAGCAUUGUGAGAGAAAAACGUACAUGAAUUGAAAUGGCGAUACAGUAAAUUAAUGAUUGUGUAACUGACUGAUUGCAACUGUUUUUGUAAUAUUGACUAAUGCAGCACAUUAGAAAUCUUUCAGUCUAUUUGUAGACAGAUUAUUCAAUCAGUAAAUGUAACUUUUUGAUUUGUCAAAAACUAACAUGAAUUUAACAUUUUCCUCAUUUUGGGGUAAUGUCUGACCUGAAUGCGCUUCAUUAGUAUGUCCAUAUUACUUUAUUAUAUCUAAUUUGAUGUAGUCAAAAGUUUAAUGGUUUAAUGAGAACCGGUGAAAUGAUAAUCAGCACUCAGUCUGUUGAGUGGUAAAUUAAUGCAUUACCUUGGCUAAGUGACAGUUUUCUGCAGCAUGCAUAAUUUCCCUAGUGUUGUAUUUGCUGUUGUAGUUUUUCUUUGUAGAUUUCUAUCGCCUAUUUCUCUUAUAAUGUCCCAUCUAAAGUAGAUGGCAUUCAGUCUGUCCAUUUUUCGAGCAACAAUAGUCAAACCAUUCCUCAAAUACCCCCUUUUAUGUGAGCGUGCAUAGAGCCUGAAGUCUGGGUUAAGGGUGAAAGUUAUGUUUCCAUUUAUGUUUUGUCAAUGCAAAUAAAACCUGGCUAUGGUCAGCCUCUAAUCAUACAAUAUUUGCGGGCCUAAACAAAUUAGAGGAGUGCAAAAAUUAAGAAGGCAAGGCAAAUAAUACAGGCUUCACGAUUUAUCUUAUCAGAUUUGUCUUAAUAAUGCAAAACUGACUUUGAAUCCAAGACCACAUUUGCCUCUUGGUUAGUUUUACAGUUGAGUUUGAAAUUUCUUGUUUUCUGUUUUAAAGGAAUUGCAUUAGUAUCUUUUCAUCUCUCUGAAUGCUGAAAUGAUUUCUGACAUUGUUUAUUUACUUGUUUUUUAAUACUUUGAAGUUCUGUUUUACUUUUUUUUACUGUCAUCUUUUAUUAUGUUUUAAACUGUAAAGCGAUGUUGUUUUUAAAUGUGCUUGUUUAUAAAUAAAGAGACUCAAUU